GAGCAUGGCGCAGCUACACAUGCAGUCGAGCGGUAACAGGGGAAGCUUGCUUCCCGCUGACGAGCGGCGGACGGGUGAGUAAUGCUUAGGAAUCUGCCCAGUAGUGGGGGAUAGCCCGGGGAAACCCGGAUUAAUACCGCAUACGUCCUACGGGAGAAAGCAGGGGAUCUUCGGACCUUGCGCUAUUGGAUGAGCCUAAGUCGGAUUAGCUAGUUGGUGGGGUAAGGGCCUACCAAGGCGACGAUCCGUAGCUGGUCUGAGAGGAUGAUCAGCCACAUCGGGACUGAGACACGGCCCGAACUCCUACGGGAGGCAGCAGUGGGGAAUAUUGGACAAUGGGGGCAACCCUGAUCCAGCCAUGCCGCGUGUGUGAAGAAGGCUUUCGGGUUGUAAAGCACUUUCAGUAGGGAGGAAAACCUUAUGGCUAAUACCCAUGAGGCUUGACGUUACCUACAGAAGAAGCACCGGCUAACUCCGUGCCAGCAGCCGCGGUAAU
rnacentral:rRNA from 1 species